rnacentral:rRNA from 1 species
GACGAACGCUGGCGGCGUGCCUAAUACAUGCAAGUAGAACGCUGAAGAGAUGAGCUUGCUCUUCUUGGAUGAGUUGCGAACGGGUGAGUAACGCGUAGGUAACCUGCCUUGUAGCGGGGGAUAACUAUUGGAAACGAUAGCUAAUACCGCAUAACAAUGGAUGACACAUGUCAUUUAUUUGAAAGGGGCAAUUGCUCCACUACAAGAUGGACCUGCGUUGUAUUAGCUAGUAGGUGAGGUAAUGGCUCACCUAGGCGACGAUACAUAGCCGACCUGAGAGGGUGAUCGGCCACACUGGGACUGAGACACGGCCCAGACUCCUACGGGAGGCAGCAGUAGGGAAUCUUCGGCAAUGGGGGCAACCCUGACCGAGCAACGCCGCGUGAGUGAAGAAGGUUUUCGGAUCGUAAAGCUCUGUUGUAAGUCAAGAACGGGUGUGAGAGUGGAAAGUUCACACUGUGACGGUAGCUUACCAGAAAGGGACGGCUAACUACGUG